UAGUUUUCAUGGAGCUGCUGGUCCGUGG
rnacentral:piRNA from 1 species